GACGACGGUAGCUGGCUGUUGCAGCCGAUCCCGAACCGAACCGGUUCUUGAUGUUGCUCAAAAAUGCUUCUCGACCGGCUAUAAUAAUUUUAAUUGACACCCAGACCAGACCAGAGUAUUCUCGAUCGGUAUGUUCAUAUACCUAACUUCGUGUCGAGGUAUCGUAUCUGAUAAAUGAAAAAUGAACAUUAUUGGUAUUUUUACGUAAUCUCAAACGUUUUAUCUAGAUGUCGCGACGUUUUCAUUUUUUCAUGCUCAUGCUUUAUCAUUCGACAAUGAUCUGGAACGUGAUGCAAGAAUAAUAACGAAAAUUCGACUACAUAGUAAAUAGAUAACAGUUUUACUUUUAUCACUAUUUAACAUCGAUGAUAUCUUUAGCAAUUUUCACUAAUCAAUCGAGGAAUAUGAGAUAUAAAGAAGUUAUAAAAAUAUAGAUUAUAUUAUUUGAAUUGUAAAAGUGUUUUCAUAUUUUUCAUUUUAAUAUCACUAUAAUAAAUAAAGGUCAAAUUGCAC